ACCCAGCUGACGAGUUCCAUAUAGGACGAAACGCGCGUCCUGGAU
rnacentral:hammerhead_ribozyme from 1 species